GGGCGCGUAGUUCAGUGGUAGAACGCAUUCCUGAUAAGAAUGAGGUUGAAGGUUCGAUUCCUUCCGCGCCCA
rnacentral:tRNA from 1 species